rnacentral:rRNA from 1 species
GUGCCAGCAGCCCGGUAAGACAGAGGGGGCAAGCGUUGCUCGGAAUCACUGGGCGUAAAGGGCGCGUAGGCGGGAUGGCAAGUCGGUCGUGAAAUCCCUCGGCUCAACCGAGGAGCGUCGGCCGAUACUGCCGUUCUUGAGGGAUGCAGAGGAGACUGGAAUUCCCGGUGUAGCGGUGAAAUGUGUAGAGAUCGGGAGGAACACCGGUGGCGAAGGCGGGUCUCUGGGCAUUUCCUGACGCUGAGGCGCGAAAGCGUGGGGAGCAAACGGGAUUAGAUACCCCGGUAGUCCACGCUGUAAACGAUGACGACUAGGUGUGGGGUGGUUCAGUCCCUUCCGUGCCGCAGCUAACGCAUUAAGUCGUCCGCCUGGGGAGUACGGCCGCAAGGUUGAAACUCAAAUGAAUUGACGG